UACGUAGGGUCCGAGCGUUGUCCGGAAUUAUUGGGCGUAAAGGGCUCGUAGGCGGUCCGUCACGUCGGGAGUGAAAACUCAGGGCUCAACCCUGAGCGUGCUUCCGAUACGGGCGGACUAGAGGUAUGCAGGGGAGAACGGAAUUCCUGGUGUAGCGGUGGAAUGCGCAGAUAUCAGGAGGAACACCGGUGGCGAAGGCGGUCUCUGGGCAUUACCUGACGCUGAGGAGCGAAAGCAUGGGGAGCGAACAGG
rnacentral:rRNA from 1 species